AUGUAUAUAUCUGUUUAAAUUCGUUCUAACUGUAUUUUGGUAUUAAUAUACAUAUAUAUUUAACUCAAAAUACAUUUAGAAUGACGUUAUAAAUACAUAUCAUCUUAACUCCUUAAGGACACAUGACAGAAAUAUUCAGUUGAUUCCCUUUCAUUUCUGAAGUUGUGUCCUUAAGGGGUUAACGACCUUGGACUUACCUGGACCGGUGAUCACGGUCAGGGGGGACUGCCGGAGAACCCAGCAUUCCCCCUGCAGCAGCUUUGGCCCUCCAGGGCCAUUCGAUCACCAUAUACACCUAAAUCUCAAAG